rnacentral:rRNA from 1 species
CACGUAGGGGGCGAGCGUUGUCCGGAUUUAUUGGGCGUAAAGAGCUCGUAGGCGGUUUGUUGCGUCGGCUGUGAAAUCCCGAGGCUCAACCUCGGGUCUGCAGUCGAUACGAGCAAACUAGAGUGUUGCAGGGGAGACUGGAAUUCCUGGUGUAGCGGUGAAAUGCGCAGAUAUCAGGAGGAACACCGGUGGCGAAGGCGGGUCUCUGGG